CUABCAUUUCAAGAGGCAUUGCCUGCCCAGUGACUAUAGUUAAACGGCCGCGGUAUCCUGACCGUGCAAAGGUAGCAUAAUCAUUUGUUCCUUAAUUAGGGACUAGAAUGAACGGCUAGACGAGGGCUCAACUGUCUCUUAUUUUUAAUCAGUGAAAUUGACCCUCCAGUGAAGAGGCUGGAAUAUAACAAUAAGACGAGAAGACCCUAUGGAGCUUAAAUUAAUAGCUUAAUUACUGUUUCACUACCCUAUAUGGCACAAGACAAAAAAUCAUAAGCUUAAAAUUUUGGUUGGGGUGACCUCGGAGAAUAAAAAAUCCUCCGAACGAUAAAUAACUUAGACUCACAAGUCAAAGUAGCCUAACUAACUAUCUAAUUGACCCAAAAAUUGAUCAACGGACCAAGUUACCCUAGGGAUAACAGCGCAAUCCUAUUUAAGAGUCCAUAUCGACAAUAGGGUUUACGACCUCGAUGUUGGAUCAGGACAUCCCAAUGGUGCAGAAGCUAUUAAUGGUUCGUUUGU
rnacentral:rRNA from 1 species